rnacentral:lncRNA from 1 species
GGAAAAUCCUGGAAAGUUACAACGGAAGUUCUGGAAUAACGUAGAAGUUUAAAUUACACAUCUUUUAUAAGGAUCAUUCUAGAAAGUUCCAAUCAUUCUGUGAUUGUUCCAGUGAUUCCUAAACUGCACAGUUUUAAGAUUAUUUGGUAAACAACUAUCAGGCCAUACAACACAAAUUAGGCCAACAUAAAUAAACAUAAUAAUUACAAUAUCAUAACAGUAUUCAUCUAUUAUUGUUGGUACAUUUGUACCAAUUUUCAUAGAUUGAGGUUAGCAUGAAUUUUUUCAUGGAUAUUGAUUUUGUAGUUUUUCCAAAGUUUGCAUUAAAGCUGAUGAAUUAUUUGUUAUUCAUUGAACAUUUAAAUUUGUGUUUUUUACCUGUACCAACAAAAUCCAUGAAAAUUGGUAUAUAUUGAAUGAAAAUCAAUAAAUCAACAACAACACCAGAGAAGAAAUCUUAUUGUAUGAAUUGUUUAUGUAAAGGGAAUGUGCAAUUUAUAAGAAUUGAUAUAUAUAUUACAUAAAUGUUAAAUAUGUGCUUGCAAUUUCCCAAUAGUAUAUCCAUAUGGGAGCAGCAAGCAUACAUUUUGU